rnacentral:rRNA from 1 species
GACGAACGCUGGCGGCGUGCCUAAUACAUGCAAGUCGAGCGGAAUGAUGAAGAAGCUUGCUUCUUCUGAUUUUAGCGGCGGACGGGUGAGCAACACGUGGGCAACCUACCUUGUAGACUGGGAUAACUCCGGGAAACCGGGGCUAAUACCGAAUAAUCCAUUUCGCUUCAUGGCGGAAUGUUAAAAGGCGGCUUUUAGCUGUCACUGCAAGAUGGGCCCGCGGCGCAUUAGCUAGUUGGUAGGGUAACGGCCUACCAAGGCGACGAUGCGUAGCCGACCUGAGAGGGUGAUCGGCCACACUGGGACUGAGACACGGCCCAGACUCCUACGGGAGGCAGCAGUAGGGAAUCUUCCACAAUGGACGAAAGUCUGAUGGAGCAACGCCGCAUGAGUGAAGAAGGUUUUCGGAUCGUAAAACUCUGUUGUAAGGGAAGAACACGUACGAGAGUAACUGCUCGUACCUUGACGGUACCUUAUUAGAAAGCCACGGCUAACUACGUGCCAUCCGCCGCCGUAAGAC